AUUUAUCUUUCACAUAUAUGCAUUGCAACUGAUCCCACUGAUUGUACGAACUUUAACAAGUAAUUGGUAUUGAAAAAUAUAGUAAUGCACUUUAUGAUUAAACAAGAUUUAUAAAGAAAUCAAGCCAGUGCCUCCUUUGCCUCUUCUGGGCAGUAUUCGGCACACAUGCAUUAUGCCACUGCCGACUCAAGGCCAGCUGUGCCAGCUUCAUGCCGAAUCCGGGCCAGAUACCUAUGCUGACUGGGCCCUUACCACCCAACACUAAAAAAAUGUUUCAAAAAAUGCCUUCCUUCCCAGUUUUUAAAAACGUUGCUACUCAUAAGCAUUUUAUAAAACACGUUUUUUUUAAACACCUUACUGUACAUUUUUCAACUGCACAUGACAUACAUUUUUCACUAAAUGUUUUGCUCCAGACUACAUGUAAACACACUAAGCCACACAAAUAUGCCUAUGAACAUAUAACCAAGUAUAUGAAUGAAGACACAGUGACUUUUUCUUUUUAUUAAUAGUCAUGAAAGCCAUAAAGAUUUUUUUAAUCAAAAAAAGCAUUAAGACUCUUAGUAUAAGAGUCGAAAAUGUGUACAUUAUUUACAAGAGUUCUAGAUACAAUAACUAAACCGCAGAGUGGCUUCUACAGAAAGGAUAAAAAAAUAUGUUAAAAUGUAAACAUUCACACAUGACAUUUAAAAAAUAUAUAUGUACAGUACUGUAUUGGCCCAAAUAUAAGACAAGACAAGUUUUUUGCAUUGAAAUAAGGUCGUCUUAUAUUCGGGGUCGAGACAUUUUACCCAUUUACCACGCUAGAUGGCGCCAGAUAUUGAAGCGAAUGUUGAACUUGACUCCCCAGGCCAAAGCGAACCUCUGUCACGAAGAAUAAAAAUAACGGUAGCACGAAGAAGAAAAACAAAAAAAUAGCGGUGAGAAAGAAAAGAGAAUAAGAUAAGAGAUAACAGAAAAUGGAGAAACGUCGCGGCAAUCUGGAGAAAAGUGGGUCGAAGAUCGGCCAGGUUAACCGGCAGCUGAGAAGUUAUCUAGUACAUUUCAAACAUCAGAAGCCAUUCAUUUACAAAUGUGAUUGCACUUUAGUUUACAUAUUUAAAUGUUCGGAUAUUAAGGUUUGAAUCAGGCAAAAUAACAUGCUUUUUCUCUCAAAUAUAUAGUUAUAAUCAUUUGUUUCAGAUGUAUUGUAAUUAUUUUCUGUAUAAAAAUUCUUUUUUUCAAACUUGAGUCUUGAAAAAGAGGGGUUUGUCUUAUAAUCAGGGCCGUCUUAUAUUCGGGCCAAUACUAUCAUUAGUAAUGGAUGGAGAUGUAAACCAAAUUUAGGUCCAUAGCAGCAUCUACGUACUGUACAGUAUAUACAAACAUGCAUGUGUUUAUGGUAGCCACUGGUUUGAGGGGAACCAACUUAAAAAAAAAAACA